GACGAACGCUGGCGGCGUGCCUAAUACAUGCAAGUAGAACGCACAGUUUAUACCGUAGCUUGCUACACCAUAAACUGUGAGUUGCGAACGGGUGAGUAACGCGUAGGUAACCUGCCUGGUAGCGGGGGAUAACUAUUGGAAACGAUAGCUAAUACCGCAUAAUAUUAAUUAUUGCAUGAUAAUUGAUUGAAAGAUGCAAUUGCAUCACUACCAGAUGGACCUGCGUUGUAUUAGCUAGUAGGUGAGGUAACGGCUCACCUAGGCGACGAUACAUAGCCGACCUGAGAGGGUGAUCGGCCACACUGGGACUGAGACACGGCCCAGACUCCUACGGGAGGCAGCAGUAGGGGAUCUUCGGCAAUGGACGAAAGUCUGACCGAGCAACGCCGCGUGAGUGAAGAAGGUUUUCGGAUCGUAAAGCUCUGUUGUAAGAGAAGAACGGGUGUGAGAGUGGAAAGUUCACACUGUGACGGUAUCUUACCAGAAAGGGACGGCUAACUACGUG
rnacentral:rRNA from 1 species